CCCCACUAUGCCUAGCCCUAAACCUUGGCAAUAUAUCACAUACCCUGCCCGCCUGGGAACUACGAGCAUCAGCUUAAAACCCAAAGGACUUGGCGGUGCUUUAGACCCCCCUAGAGGAGCCUGUUCUAGAACCGAUAACCCCCGUUCAACCUCACCCUUCCUUGUUUAUCCCGCCUAUAUACCGCCGUCGUCAGCUUACCCUGUGAAGGCCUAAAAGUAAGCACAACUGGCAAAACCCAAAACGUCAGGUCGAGGUGUAGCGCAUGGAGGGGGAAGAAAUGGGCUACAUUCCCUACAAUAGGGAACACGAAUGGUGCACUGAAAUACGCACCUGAAGGAGGAUUUAGUAGUAAGCGGGAAAUAGCGUGUUCCGCUGAAAUCGGCCCUGAAGCGCGCACACACCGCCCGUCACUCUCCCCAAGCUUACCACUUUUAAUAAUUAAAAACCCAAAAAUCGCGGAGGGGAGGCAAGUCGUAACAUGGUAAGUGUACUGGAAGGUGCAA
rnacentral:rRNA from 1 species